CUCUGUUUUGCCCCUAAGCUGCUUCAUUCCGCUACAAUGGGCUGUCCGUGGUGUAUUUCCUGUUCCUGCUCGCCUUGCCUCUGCUGCCAAACCCCACCCUGGUCACCAUGAAGGGUAAAACGGGUCAGUUCCUGCGGACAAUCAUCUAUACCAGCCUGACCUUCCUGAGCCUGCAGUGCUUCAUGCAGAUUCCUUUAGCCUACAUUCCUCCACAUGUUAGUGGCCACUGGGAAAUUGUCUUCUACCAUUUGGGAAUUGUAAGGU